GUGCCAGCCGCCGCGGUAAUACGUAGGUGACGAGCGUUAUCCGGAAUUAUUGGGCGUAAAGCGCACGCAAGCGGUCUGUCCAGUCUGACGUGAAAUCUCUUGGCUUAACUGGGAGCGGUCGUUGGAAACUGACAGGCUUGAGGCGAUGAGAGGGGUGCAGAAUUCCCGGUGUAGUGGUGGAAUGCGUAGAUAUCGGGGGGAAUACCUGUGGCGAAAGCGGCACCCUGGCGUCGUUCUGACGCUCAUGUGCGAAAGCGUGGGGAGCGAACGGGAUUAGAUACCCCCGUAGUCC
rnacentral:rRNA from 1 species